UUAAUUGAAGCCAAAAUUUAGAGGCCUUUCAUUGUUAAUGAAAAAAAUGAUUUUAUAAUCCAAUUAAA
rnacentral:tRNA from 1 species